UACGGGGGGAGCAAGCGUUGUUCGGAUUUACUGGGCGUAAAGGGCGCGUAGGCGGUCAGCACAAGUCAGUUGUGAAAUCUCCGGGCUUAACUCGGAAAGGUCAACUGAUACUGUGCGACUAGAGUGCGGUAGGGGAGACUGGAAUUCCUGGUGUAGCGGUGAAAUGCGCAGAUAUCAGGAGGAACACCGGUGGCGAAGGCGGGUCUCGUGGGCCGUAACUGACGCUGAGGAGCGAAAGCAUGGGGAGCGAACAGG
rnacentral:rRNA from 1 species